AUGUUUAUCUGUUCAGAAAACAUUCCCCACCCUCAAAGGGAAAAGAAGUCUGAUGGUAUUCACAUACUUAUCUGCCCUUUCUAACAUACUGCAGGUUUUCAGCCAUCAUCCUUUGAGAAGGUUUUAAGCAUGUCAGGUUAUAUUCCCAGUUCAACAGAUGUCCCAAAGAGAUUUAUUUCUACAGAAAUGGUCGGUAGCAGCACACUACCAGCCUCCACAGUAAAAACAAUCACUGCCUGGAAGACACCUGAUUCUCAGAGAAGUGCUUCUGUACAACCUGUGGUUACUGGGAACAUUGCUCAUGCUCUAGGCACCAUCAGUGGUCACCUUGCUGACAUGGAAAACAGUUCUUCAGUACAUGCUGUAAAGGCCGCAUCUUCAAAGAGCCAUGCUGCAUCACCUGAGAAUAAAACUAGGACACAAGUUGAGGCCUUCAGCUAUUUUGAGAACAGCAGGAAGACUUCCCUUAGCAGCACAGCAAGUACAAGCAAAGGACAUUCUUUGCCAAACAAAGCAUUCAAAGGUGGAAAUCCUCAAAGAGUUCUGCACCUAUUAACUAAGCAUCAAGCAAGUCAUUUACCUUUUACCCUUGUGGAAGUCACUGUCCCACCAAAAAUGCUUCCUGAAGAAUUGAGCGAAACAGUGAUUCCUAAAGCAGUGACCUGUUCUGAUUUACCCUGUUUUCCUGGCGUUCCCUGUGAGCCAAGGCAGGAUGGAAGUGUCAAGUGUGGUCGCUGUCCUUAUGGUUAUUAUGGAGAUGGCUUCACUUGCAGAGCAAGAUGUAGACAACCCUGUGGCAAAAAUAUGGAGUGUGUGGCACCCAAUAUUUGUAAAUGCAAGCCUGGUUAUGCUGGUCAUAACUGUCAGGCUGGUGAGUAUGCCAUGUUAAUUUUGCCUGUGGUAACUCAUAGGCACAAAUUAAUGAUUUACAGACUGUUGUUGAUUUUUUUUUUUGUACAGCUCUAUGCAGACCUGAUUGCAAAAACCAUGGGAAGUGCAUUAAGCCAAACAUCUGUGAGUGUUUACCUGGAUACAGUGGCUCCACCUGUGAAGAAGGUAAAUGUAGCAGUCUUUGUUUUUAAAUCCAUAGCUACCCAAAGUAUGCUGUGA
rnacentral:lncRNA from 1 species